GUUGAACGCUGGCGGCAUGCUUUACACAUGCAAGUCGAACGGUAACAGGCCGCACGUUGCUGACGAGUGGCGGACGCGUGAGUAAUGCAACGGAACGGGCCCCCUCGUGAGGGAUAACUACUCAAUAGGGUAACUAAUACCUCAUACGAGCUAUGAUUGAAAGCGGGGGGCCUUAAUAGCUCACGCGAUUUUAGCGGUCGCUGUCAGAUUAGGUAGUUGGUCGGGUAAAGGCUCACCAAGUCAACGAUCUGUAGCCGGUCUGAGAGGAUGAGCAGCCACACUGGAACUGAGACACGGUCCAGACUCCUACGGGAGGCAGCAGUGGGGAAUUUUGGACAAUGGGCGCAAGCCUGACCCAGCAAUGCCGCGUGAAGGAAGAAGGUCUUCGGGUUGUAAAAUGCUUUUGUACGGAAAGAAACGGCUUUUGUUAAUCCCCGCGCCUAUUGACGGUACCGAAACAAAAAGCCCCGGCUAACUACGUG
rnacentral:rRNA from 1 species